rnacentral:rRNA from 1 species
GACGAACGCUGGCGGCGUGCUUAACACAUGCAAGUCGAACGGAAAGGCCCUGCUUUUGUGGGGUGCUCGAGUGGCGAACGGGUGAGUAACACGUGUGUAACCUGCCCUUGACUUUGGGAUAACUUCAGGAAACUGGGGCUAAUACCGGAUAGGAGCUCCUGCUGCAUGGUGGGGGUUGGAAAGUUUCGGCGGUUGGGGAUGGACUCGCGGCUUAUCAGCUUGUUGGUGGGGUAGCGGCUUACCAAGGCUUUGACGGGUAGCCGGCCUGAGAGGGUGACCGGCCACAUUGGGACUGAGAUACGGCCCAGACUCCUACGGGAGGCAGCAGUGGGGAAUAUUGCACAAUGGGCGGAAGCCUGAUGCAGCAACGCCGCGUGCGGGAUGACGGCCUUCGGGUUGUAAACCGCUUUCGCCUGUGACGAAGCGUGAGUGACGGUAAUGGGUAAAGAAGCACCGGCUAACUACGUG